UUACGGAAGGCAGCAGUGGGGAAUAUUGCACAAUGGGCGCAAGCCUGAUGCAGUAACGCCGCGUGCGGGAUGAAGGCCUUCGGGUCGUAAACCGCUUUUCGGAGGGACGAGACAGGACGGUACCUCUGGAAUAAGUCUCGGCUAACUACGUGCCAGCAGCCGCGGUAAAACGUAGGAGGCGAGCGUUAUCCGGAUUCACUGGGCGUAAAGCGCAUGUAGGUGGUUCGUUAAGUAGGUUGUGAAAGCCCCCGGCUCAACUGGGGGAGGUCAGCCUAAACUGGGGGACUUGAGGUUUCGAGAGGAAGGUGGAAUUCCCGGUGUAGCGGUGGAAUGCGUAGAGAUCGGGAGGAACACCAGUGGCGAAAGCGGCCUUCUGGCGAAACCCUGACACUGAGAUGCGAAAGCGUGGGGAGCAAACGGGAUUAGAUACCCCCGUAGUCCU
rnacentral:rRNA from 1 species